rnacentral:rRNA from 1 species
GACGAACGCUGGCGGCAUGCCUAAUACAUGCAAGUCGAACGCUUUAAUUUCACCGGGUGCUUGCACCCAUCGAAGUUAAGGAGUGGCGGACGGGUGAGUAACACGUGGGUAACCUGCCCAUAAGAGGGGGAUAACAUUCGGAAGCGGAUGCUAAUACCGCAUAUUUCUAAUCGUCUCCUGACGAAUGGAAGAAAGGUGGCUUCGGCUACCGCUUAUGGAUGGACCCGCGGCGUAUUAGCUAGUUGGUGAGGUAAUGGCUCACCAAGGCGAUGAUACGUAGCCGACCUGAGAGGGUGGACGGCCACAAGGGGACUGAGAUACGGCCCUU